UAUCACACUUAUAUUUUAAAAUCAUUUGAACUGGUAAGGGUCUUAUGGAAUUAGGAGUUGUUAUCUUUUUCCUUGAAUCCUUGGUAAUUGUCUACUACCUCAAAAUUGUAUAGUAGUGUAAAUCUCCGAGCAGCUAGAUGCUUGCUGAUCAAAGCCAUCGUUACAACCUUGGAAAGAAUGUGAUGAGAAUGAGGGGUCAUACAUUUCUCUCACAACAGUGUGUUGCAGGUAUAGCUAAUCAGUUUGACGAUUCCUCAUAGUAGACGAGAUUCGCAUUCAGCGAAGGAUCAAUAAGACUCCACCUCAUUCGGAGUGCAACCAAGUCUAUGAGUCAUCGUGUCAGAGUUUUGCUACAGACUUAAUGAUAGGCUAGUACCCUGUCCCAUUUGAUGUCAAACAAUCUUAGAGGAUUUGUAGAUGCAGGUUUAUUAUGUACAGUAUGUCAGAGGCCUUGACAACCCAUAUGUAUUUAUGUUUUAUCAA